GGAGAGUUUGAUCAUGGCUCAGGAUGAACGCUGGCGGCGUGCUUAACACAUGCAAGUCGAACGGUGAACACGGAGCUUGCUCUGUGGGAUCAGUGGCGAACGGGUGAGUAACACGUGAGCAACCUGCCCCUGACUCUGGGAUAAGCGCUGGAAACGGCGUCUAAUACUGGAUAUGUGACGUGACCGCAUGGUCUGCGUCUGGAAAGAAUUUCGGUUGGGGAUGGGCUCGCGGCCUAUCAGCUUGUUGGUGAGGUAAUGGCUCACCAAGGCGUCGACGGGUAGCCGGCCUGAGAGGGUGACCGGCCACACUGGGACUGAGACACGGCCCAGACCCCUACGGGAGGCAGCAGUGGGGAAUAUUGCACAAUGGGCGCAAGCCUGAUGCAGCAACGCCGCGUGAGGGACGACGGCCUUCGGGUUGUAAACCUCUUUUAGCAGGGAAGAAGCGAAAGUGACGGUACCUGCAGAAAAAGCGCCGGCUAACUACGUGCCAGCAGCCGCGGUAAUACGUAGGGCGCAAGCGUUAUCCGGAAUUAUUGGGCGUAAAGAGCUCGUAGGCGGUUUGUCGCGUCUGCUGUGAAAUCCGGAGGCUCAACCUCCGGCCUGCAGUGGGUACGGGCAGACUAGAGUGCGGUAGGGGAGAUUGGAAUUCCUGGUGUAGCGGUGGAAUGCGCAGAUAUCAGGAGGAACACCGAUGGCGAAGGCAGAUCUCUGGGCCGUAACUGACGCUGAGGAGCGAAAGGGUGGGGAGCAAACAGGAUUAGAUACCCUGG
rnacentral:rRNA from 1 species